rnacentral:rRNA from 1 species
AGAGUUUGAUCCUGGCUCAGGACGAACGCUGGCGGCGUGCUUAACACAUGCAAGUCGAGCGAGGCCCACCUUUCGGGGUGGUGUCCUAGCGGCGAACGGGUGAGUAACACGUGGGCAACCUGCCCUCAGCUCUGGGAUAACUCCGGGAAACCGGGGCUAAUACCGGAUAUGACCCUGUGAAGCAUUUCGUGGGUGGAAAGUUUUUCGGCUGAGGAUGGGCCCGCGGCCUAUCAGCUUGUUGGUGGGGGUGAUGGCCUACCAAGGCGACGACGGGUAGCCGGCCUGAGAGGGCGACCGGCCACACUGGGACUGAGACACGGCCCAGACUCCUACGGGAGGCAGCAGUGGGGAAUAUUGCGCAAUGGGCGAAAGCCUGACGCAGCGACGCCGCGUGAGGGACGAAGGCCUUCGGGUUGUAAACCUCUUUCAGCAGGGACGAAGCGAAAGUGACGGUACCUGCAGAAGAAGCACCGGCCAACUACGUG